rnacentral:rRNA from 1 species
UCCUGCACCUGCCGGCGACCGGCGCACGGGUGAGUAACACGUAUGGAACCUGCCCGCCACAGGGGGAUAACCCGGGGAAACCCGGCCUAAUACCCCAUGCCGCCCGGACCGGGCAUCCGGUCCGGGCGAAAGGAGGAAUCCGGUGGCGGCUGGGCAUGCGGCGCAUUAGCUUGACGGCGGGGUAACGGCUCACCGUGGCGACGAUGCGUAGGGGUUCUGAGAGGAAGGCCCCCCACCACUGGAACUGAGACACGGUCCAGACUCCUACGGGAGGCAGCAG